rnacentral:lncRNA from 1 species
CCAACGACCAAAGCAAAGGACAGCAGAACUGACUGACACAGCUCAGAAAAUAUCCAAAGCUCUGUAUGCUCUGGAAAGGAAGACAAGAAAUGCUAAAGACUCUGGAUAUUGCUCUGUUUCUAUAAGGUCCCACCCAUAUACCAUCUCUUCUUUUGGAUUUCCUUUGGCAGCUAUACUUGGCCCCAAGGUUUCAACCUCACACUGAAGAAAGUGACAUAAGAAAACACAAGUCCCAGUGCUAUCAGGGGCUAUCUGGAAAAGCUGCUUAAACAGCAAGUGAAAGAAGGCUCUCCCCUACCCCGUUCUAGACGGAGUUCCACUCUUGUUGCCCAAACUGGAGUGCAAUGGCACAAUCUCGGCUCACGACAACCUCCGCCUCUCAGGUUCAAGUGAUUCUCCUGCCUCAGCCUCGCAAGUAGCUGGGAUUACAGACUCACCCUGAAGUUAUUUGAAGGAUCCUUGAGACUCUUUUGGAUUGCUGCUUGGAGAACAUUCCUGUAACUUGUCCCUGCUCCUUGAACUAUAAAAGCAGAAGGGAGGUACUGAGUUAAAACUUACAAAUUAUUAUCAAAUAAAUCUUCAAUAG